rnacentral:rRNA from 1 species
AGCGAACGCUGGCGGCAGGCCUAACACAUGCAAGUCGAACGGUGAUGCUCCAGCUUGCUGGAGUGGAUCAGUGGCGAACGGGUGAGUAACACGUGAGCAACCUGCCCCAGACUCUGGAAUAAGCGCUGGAAACGGCGUCUAAUACUGGAUACGAAACUGGCCCGCAUGGGCAUGGUUUGGAAAGUUUUUCGGUUUGGGAUGGGCUCGCGGCCUAUCAGCUUGUUGGUGAGGUAAUGGCUCACCAAGGCGACGACGGGUAGCCGGCCUGAGAGGGCGACCGACCACACUGGGACUGAGACACGGCCCAGACUCCUACGGGAGGCAGCAGUGGGGAAUAUUGCACAAUGGGCGAAAGCCUGAUGCAGCGACGCCGCGUGAGGGAUGACGGCCUUCGGGUUGUAAACCUCUUUCAGCAGGGAAGAAGCGAAAGUGACGGUACCUGCAGAAGAAGCACCGGCUAACUACGUG